UACAGAGGGUGCAAGCGUUGUUCGGAAUCACUGGGCGUAAAGGGCGUGUAGGCGGUCAGGUAAGUGGGACGUGAAAUGCCUCGGCUCACCCGAGGAGCGGCGUCCCAUACUGCUUGGCUUGAGUACGGGAGAGGAUGUGGGAAUUCCUGGUGUAGCGGUGAAAUGCGUAGAUAUCAGGAGGAACACCGGUGGCGAAGGCGCACAUCUGGCCCGAUACUGACGCUGAGGCGCGAAAGCUAGGGGAGCAAACGGG
rnacentral:rRNA from 1 species